rnacentral:tmRNA from 1 species
GGGGGCGUCACGGUUUCGACGGGGGAGUUGAGGCCGACGCUGCAUGCCGGGAAGGUCACGUUUCUCGUAAAACACGUGGCAAACUGACAAGUGCCAACGAAGGUGCUUACGCUCUUGCAGCCUAACUAGCUGCACGUCUGAGGGGUACGAUGCUCGCUGAUCCCUGAGGGCGCCAAAACCUUAGCGAGCUGGCCGUCAACGGCCCGCCAGGGCCAACGGGCGGCGAGACCCAAUCCUGGCAACGGGGGCAGGACCUGUCGGCGGGUCACCUGUCCCGGCACAAUCCACCGACUACGCAUGUAGACGCGCCGCGCGGAUCUUUCUCGGACCCGGGUUCGACUCCCGGCGCCUCCACCA